rnacentral:rRNA from 1 species
GAUGAACGCUGGCGGCGUGCCUAAUACAUGCAAGUCGAGCGAACGGACGAGAAGCUUGCUUCUCUGAUGUUAGCGGCGGACGGGUGAGUAACACGUGGAUAACCUACCUAUAAGACUGGGAUAACUUCGGGAAACCGGAGCUAAUACCGGAUAAUAUUUUGAACCGCAUGGUUCAAAAGUGAAAGACGGUCUUGCUGUCACUUAUAGAUGGAUCCGCGCUGCAUUAGCUAGUUGGUAAGGUAACGGCUUACCAAGGCAACGAUGCAUAGCCGACCUGAGAGGGUGAUCGGCCACACUGGAACUGAGACACGGUCCAGACUCCUACGGGAGGCAGCAGUAGGGAAUCUUCCGCAAUGGGCGAAAGCCUGACGGAGCAACGCCGCGUGAGUGAUGAAGGUCUUCGGAUCGUAAAACUCUGUUAUUAGGGAAGAACAUGUGUGUAAGUAACUGUGCACAUCUUGACGGUACCUAAUCAGAAGGCCACGGCUAACUACGUG